GAGUUUGAUCGUGGCUCAGAUUGAACGCUGGCGGCAUGCCUUACACAUGCAAGUCAAACGGCAGCAUGAUCUAGCUUGCUAGAUUGAUGGCGAGUGGCGAACGGGUGAGUAAUACAUCGGAACGUGACCCUGUAGUGGGGGAUAACUAGUCGAAAGAUUAGCUAAUACCGCAUACGACCUGAGGGUGAAAGUGGGGGACCGCAAGGCCUCAUGCUAUAGGAGCGGCCGAUGUCUGAUUAGCUAGUUGGUGGGGUAAAGGCCCACCAAGGCGACGAUCAGUAGCAGGUCUGAGAGGACGAUCAGCCACACUGGGACUGAGACACGGCCCAGACUCCUACGGGAGGCAGCAGUGGGGAAUUUGGACAAUGGGCGAAAGCCUGAUCCAGCAAUGCCGCGUGUGUGAAGAAGGCCUCGG
rnacentral:rRNA from 1 species